AAACGGGUGCGUAACGCGUAAGCAACCUGCCUCAUACUGGGGGAUAGCCCGGCGAAAGCUGGGGUAAACCCGCACGGUCCAGUUUUAUCACCUGGUAAGAUUGGUAAACAUUUAUGGGUAUGAGAGGGGCUUGCGUCUGAUUAGUUAGUUGGCAGGGUAACGGCCUACCAAGACGAUGAUCAGUAGGGGUUCUGAGAGGAUUGGCCCCCACAUGGGUACUGAGAUACGGACCCAACUCCUACGG
rnacentral:rRNA from 1 species